rnacentral:lncRNA from 1 species
UUUUGGCAUGUAGUUGGUGAGAAUAUAUAAAAAGAUAAAUAAAAAAUGCACAUAGGAAACACUUUAGUACAUAUAUCUACUGUAAAACAGCACAUAUCUCAUCCCCUUUUUGUCCUUUUUCUUCUUUUUAGGGUUCAUUCCAUUUUCUCUCUCUCUCUCUCUCUCUCUCUCUCUCUCUCACACUGUUCAUCUUCAGCUCAUCUUCUUGGUAAGAACCCAAAUCUCAAUUUUAAUUUACAUAAUAUUUCAUGGGUUUUAAUUCCAAUUUGCCAUCAAGUUGACUUUUUUCUUUUUGNNNNNNNNNNNNNNNNNNNNNNNNNAUACGAAGUUAUUACGAUAUAUAUAUAAAUUUUUAAAAACCAGUUUUAACAGUAUGCUUAAGAGUAUUUUCAUGUGCAUAAUAAGUGCAUGAUCUGUGCCUUUUAAAUACUACAUAGUUUAUCACUUAACACAGUUAAUCAAUAUGUAUUAUUUUCUUAAGUAAAAUCAUUAUGAUAAAUGAACACAAUUUGAUGCAUAUAUUAAAUUUGGAUAAGUAGCACAUUUUUUUCUCUCCAAAUGACACGACAUUUGGAGGGUCAAACAAGUUUUUUUUUUCAAUUUUAAUUCUUCUUAUUUUCAACUGUACAAUAUUAAGCUUUAUUGUUUGUAAAAAACCAACCUUCAAAUUUACACUGAAAUUUUAGAUGUGUUGACUGAUGAAUUCACUAAACAGUUGACUUUUACUUUCAGCUUCAUUUUCUCUUAAGUCUCAAUUUAUCCUAACAAAAAGAGCAUCAAAACUUCUUUCCUUAUUUCAAAUUCUUAAGUACAGAGAUUGAAUAACGACAAGAACCAUAAAAAAAAUCAUCUUUGAAACGUGCACUUACCAAAAAUAAUAACUUUUGUACACUGAAAAAAGAUUGAAACUUUUUAAUUGUUUUUACAAGAAACACAUUUUCUUGAAAUGGGGUUUUGAAUUUUGACUAAUUGAAUCAUCUACUUCCAUUUUUUGCUUUUAAUUCACUUAAAAUUCUGCACAAAAUAGCAAAUUGAAACUCACUCUAUAACCAUGGCUUCUUGUAAUUUUCUAAGUAGUUACCAGCUUAACACUUGUUGUAAUGUCAAAAAACCCCACAUUGGUUCCUUUAAAAAGAGUUCUUUUUCUCAAUCUUGGUCAAAAAGGCCAAAUGGGUCAUCUUAUUUUCACAAGAAUUCUCAAACUGGAAGAAGCAAUUUUGUUAUAGUGAAGGCUUCAGAUUCAAGAACUACCAGAAAACAAGUUGAGGUAACCCUAUUGUUUUGUUGAAAACAUGGAAUGGAGCUGUAAUUUUAUUAAAAAAUUUGGCUUUUGUAGUUUGAAUUUGAUUUUCUUGUUUCCCCCCCCUUUUUGAGCUGUAAUUAUGUAAAAUAUUUUGAGCUUGGAUUCAAGAGCUAGCAGAAAACAAAUAGAGAUAAGUGGCAACCCAGAUUUUGUAUAUGGUUUGAAUUUGCCUUUAUUUUUGUUGGAAUGGAGCUGUAAUUUUAUUGAAAAAUUUGGGUUUUUUUGUAAAUUUUUGUUCUAUAGCUAGGUUUGAAUUUGAUUUUCUUGCUUCUCUUUUGGUGUAAUUGUGUAAAAGGUUUUGAGCUUUCUGUGAAUCUUGUUUUGGGGUGCUUAGAUAACAUAUGAUCCUGAGUUUGACUUUAUUUGUUGGAAUGUAGCUGUAAUUGUACAAAAAAUUGGGGGUUUUGAACUUUGUUCUAUAGCUAGGUUUGAAUUUGAUUUUUCUUGUUCUUUUUAGGAGUAAUUGUGUAAAACAUUUUGAGCUUUGUGUGAAUCUUGUUAUGGGGUGCUUAGAUAACAUAUGAUCAUGAGUUUGACUUCAUUUGUUGGAAUGGAGCUGUAAUUAUAUAAAGUUUUUUGGCUUUUGUAGUUUGUAUUUGAUUUUCUUGUUUUUUCUUUCUCUUUUGAGCUGUAAUUGUGUAAAAGGUUUUGAGCUUUGUGUAAAUUUUGUUUUGGGGUGCUCAGAUAACAUAUAAUCCUGAAGAGAAGUUUAAUAAGUUAGCUGAUGAAGUGGACAGAGAGGCUGGACUUUCAAGACUUACUCUCUUUUCACCUUGCAAGGUAAUGCAUAUCAAGUUACAAUCUUUGAGUAUCAGUACCUAUGUUGCUUGGACUCUCCGAAAAUGUUACCGGGUGCGUGUCGGAUCCUCCAAAAAUAGUGUAUUUUUGGAGGAUCCGACACGGGUGCGGCAUCAUUUCUGAGACUGCGCGCAACAUUGAUCAGAACUCCUUUGUGGAUUUUACCCUUAUUCUUUCUUUUUUCUUGGAAAAUUUGCCGUCUUUUUGUGUCGCAGAUAAAUGUUUUCUUGAGAAUAACGGGCAAGAGGGACGACGGAUAUCAUGAUUUGGCAUCUCUCUUUCAUGUAAGUUUUCUUCACUUCCUGUUUUCUGCUUCUGAUUUUUGUCUCGAGAGAACUCAGAAUAUGGUAAAGCUUCAAAGAAUUCAAUUGGGAUUACACCAUAUUACUAUAUUUCAAGUUCCUGUUACUAUGGUAUUUAUUAAUGAACUAUUAGGUAUAUAUAUAGCUUAUGAAAUCCAUUUUGUUCCUUCAGGUAAUCAGUCUAGGAGAUAAAAUAAAAUUCUCGCUGUCACCAUCGAAAUCAAAGGAUCGUUUAUCUACUAAUGUUGCUGGAGUUCCCCUCGACGAGAGAAAUUUGGUAACGCAAGAAGCUAAUAUGGUUAUCCUUAUACUCGUCAAGUACAAUUAUAUUAUUGGUAGAUUCAUGAUUUUGCCACUACCUUUGCAGAUUAUAAAGGCCCUCAAUCUGUAUAGGAAAAAAACUGGAACAGACAAUUACUUUUGGGUACAGUCUUUCAGCUGCCAGCAAAUUAAUCCGUUUGCAAUAGCUUUUGGAUAAAGUUCGACUGAGUUAACUUUAUGACAUAUUUGGAUGACCAGAUUCAUCUUGAUAAGAAGGUGCCUACUGGGGCUGGUCUUGGUGGUGGGAGCAGUAAUGCGGCAACAGCUCUGUGGGCAGCAAAUCAGUUCAGUGGUUGUCUUGCCACUGAAAAGGAGCUCCAAGAGUGGUCUGGUGAGAUCGGUUCUGAUAUUUCUUUCUUUUUCUCCCAUGGAGCAGCUUACUGCACGGGUAGGGGUGAGGUAUGCUUUUGCCGUUGUACUUACUUCCAAGUGUCUUAUUCCUUCCAAAUCUGGGUGAGAUUGUGGUUUUUCUUGCAUAUCUUCGGAUCUCUAUUGCCGUUAAUCAGUCUUUGAUAAGUUGGGUGGUGUUGAGCCCCACACCGGUUCUAAAGGGGUGGGAUGGUCUCUUUAUAUGGUGUUGGCCAAUCCUCACCUCAUGAGCUAGCUUUUGGGGUUGAGUUAUGCUCAAGGUUCAUUUCUUUAACAGGCGGAAAGCUGUAUUGCCAAGAAGAAUGUUGAAAAACACGUGUGGGUGGAAAGCUGUUGUUCAACUAUGGCGAGACUCUAAGCCUUGUUGGGCCAGAGUUACCCGUAAAUGUGUUGGUGGGAAGUAGAAGGUACCUUAUGGAAUAGUCGAGCUGCAUGCAAGUUAACUCAGACACCACCAUUAUAAAAAAAAGUAAAAAUAAAAACUAUGGCGAGGCUAGAGAGGGGUAAAUGAGGUCAUUUGACUCUUACUAGCCUGAAGGUUAGAAACAUUUAAACUAGGACUAGUUGUUGUGCUUUAAAUCCUUUAACAAAACUUCAGAUUCAUUAAUGCUGGCAAUUUUUUUUUAUGAGAAGUCAGAUUGGGUUACAUCCACAAAACUGUAUUAGUAUCAGAUUAGCACCUUGUUCCACUCAUUCCUUUCACUUGAGAAGUAUAAUUUCUGGUGAUUUCCAGAUAGAAUUGUAAUUUAGGGAGUUGAUGUAAUGUAUGGAAACCUUAGGCAGAUCCCUUACUUUGCAGUUAACAAGAGAUUUGGAACUUUUUUGCAACUCCAUCCUUUAACCUGUGAAUUAUAAUUUCGAACUAGUAAGCAUGUCUCUUAUGCGAUAGUGAGAGGUACAAGUGUAAUUUAUUCAGACAAGCAGGGUCUAAUCACAUUUUCUUGGGAAAAAAAGUAAAAAGAAAAUAUUGAUGUAAAAAUGAGCUAAUAUCACAUAAUUACUUUUAACGAGUAAUGCGAUAGUCACUUAAUAGAUUGGAGAUUUGACCGUUAAUGGCGCGAGAUUCCACAUAUAACCAAUAAACUCAAAUUUGAUGGGAAAUUGAAACCUUGCAAAAAUGAUAGUGAGGAAAAACUUCUUGAAAUUUUUUGGAACUGCCUUUCUGUCUUUAGCUAUCUAGUCAUGACCUCCCAAAGUUACAUGUUUGUUUAUAUAUAUAAAAAAAAAAAAAGAGGUGCAUGUGAGCUGCAGUAGUGAUCUGCAUGAGAAAUGGCUUGGGAAUUGCUAGAAAGUUAUUAGUUGAACUUGUCUCUCAUAAAUUCAAAUUAUUGAAAUGUGCAUUUGUUUGUUCAGAUUGUUCAAGAUAUCCCAUCGCCCAUACCAUUUGACAUUCCAAUGGUUCUCAUAAAGCCUCAGCAAGAAUGCUCUACUGCUGAAGUUUACAAGGUGAUACAAAAUGAAGUUAGCGAACAAGUUUAGGAUGAAACUAUAUGAUUUUGGUUGUCAAAAUCUAAGAGAAGAUUUGGUUUUGCAGCGUUUUCAAUUGGAUCAGACUAGUAAAGUUGAUCCCUUGAGCUUGCUGGAGAAGAUCAAAACUAGUGGAAUAUCUCAAGAUGUGUGUGUCAAUGAUCUAGGUACGAGAUGAAGAUUAAACACAUUAACAUUUGUUCAAACUCACCUUACCAAAAUAUAUAUACAUAUAUAUGUGUGUGUAUUUAUGUAUUUAUUCUAGCUUCAUGUGUGUUGAAGUAACUUUGCUUGUGACCAAGCUCGGAAAAAUAGGAAAACUUCUUAAAGAAGACCUUUCUUGUAGUUGCUCAUUCCAGUUCCGGCAUGUUGUAUGGGCGUAGGUUCAGCUGACCGAGGACAUGACCCUUAAUAGGAAGGUGUGGAGGUCGAGGAUUAGGGUAGUAGGGUAGGUGGUCUAGAUUGUUCAUACCGGUAGUAUUAGUACACACUCUCGCAUUCUGUUGGUAGUAGGUUUCUAUGACUACCCGUCGUUUUCUUUCAUUUUGGUCAUCUUACUAUCUUGUUAUUUUUUUAUGCUACUUUUGUAUGGCUUUGUGGUGCUUUCCCUUCAUGUCUAUAUUUUCAUUAAUGUGGUGCUUAUGCUUUCCUGAGCCGAGGGUCUAUUGGAAACAACCUCUCUAUCCUCACAAGGUAGGGGUAAGGUCUGCGUACACACUAACCGCCCCAGACCCUACGGCAUGGGAUGUUGUUGUUGUUGUUAUUGUUCAUAGACUUGGUGCUGAUCACUAACUUAGAGCCAAAAUUCUGAAAGCAUACUUUCUUCAUUCCUUGGUUUCACAGUGGAAAGGACUAAUCUUCCUUUCUCUACUUGAGAAUAUCUCCUCAUGUAGUGUGUGAAGAUGAGCACUUCACUCAAUUGAUUGCAAUCAUGCAAUAUGAAUCUGAAAACUUUUCUCCUUAUAAUGAUAGAUCAGUUUUGAACACAGUUGUGAAACAUAUUUCAGGUCCUUGUUGAAGGGCCUUCUUGUCGAUUACCGGCCACAGUUGUAUGUUGUGCAGGCAAAGUAAACAGAUGAUAGUCUUUAGUAUUCCCUUUUCCUCUUUUGCUGCAGCUAGCAUUUGUUUUUGCUGGCAAUAUAAGCCAGAUUCAAAAACUAGACUGCUAAAUUGAACACAUGAAGUAAAUUACGAAGCCAACCUCUUCUUUUUAGCAGUUCUUUUUUCAUGCUUACGUUUUUGAAAGAAUAUCAAUUACUUUUCAUCCUAGGUCAUUGAGUCUGUAUAUGCGAUUUGGGAAUCAUUAUUGGUAGAAUGUAACUUUUGUAUAUCCUUCCAUUCGGGAAGCAACAGAGUGGAUCUUGCACUUUUUAACUUUGUAGAUUUUUUCGGUCAGAAUUACACUCCUUUGACAUUAUCGAUAUUUCUUGCAGAACCUCCUGCCUUUGAAGUUCUUCCAUCUCUUAAAAGGUUAAAACAGCGAGUGAUUGCUGCCGGCCGAGGACAGUAUGAUGCCGUCUUCAUGUCUGGAAGGUAUGCUUUUGUCUUAGUCUGGUUCAUAUUCUUACUAUCUCUUUCUAGAUUGUCGUAAUUUUAACACUUUGCUCGCGCUUAAGGGUUUUCAAGCAGAUGGGUGUGACAAUGUGAAUUAGGCAUGUUGAGACAAUAGGAGAAAUCGAAAUUAAGAGUGUUGUGCCAAUGUUGGAGUUAGAUCUCACAUGGAAGAAGUUGUUUCUAUUAGUCGUUAUGGUAAUUUAUUCCUAGCUCUAAAUUUUUAAUAGAAACACUAAGUCAUGCCUGCAGAUUUUAUCAUCAUAGCAAGUGAGGGGCUUUUCAACUACUGAACUCAAGAGUUAGGCUGAAUGGUUAAUACAUACGACAAAAAUUGCAACUAAAUUGAAAUGAUAUAUAAUCAUUCUUGAAGGUUUGAUCGAACCACUCUAAUUAAAUUAUCUAGCAACAACAACGAAAAAAAACCCAGUGGAGUCCCACAAGUGGGGGUAUGGGGAGGAUAGUGUGUACACAGACCUUUUCCUACCCUUUGGGAGGUAGAGAGGUUGUUUCCAAUAGACCCUCGGCUCAAGAAGAUGAAAAGAAACCAUAGAAACAAGCAAUAACAACAACAAAGACCAGAAAGAUAAUAUCAACAAUCUAAGAGCCAGAAAAAUAGAUGGGAGAAAGCAAUAGCAACAAGCAGUAACAACGGCAAGGUACUACGAAAACAACAUGUAAUACUAGCAAUCUAAGACAAGACACCAUUGACUAGCCCUAAGGGAGCAAAAUUUGCAAAAAUGUUUUCAAAUAAUGUAUUAUAUGAAGUGAUCUUUUUACUUGAUCAUAAAUGCCUAAUGACUAGUUUUAGUUGUGUAAGUUGUACACAUCCCUCUUAGUGGACGAGCAUUUCUUUGGAAAUAUAGUAUUAAGCCUUUUGCAACCAACCACUUGGGAGGAAGGUAUGAAAUGCCUAAGGGCAAAUUGGACAAUGGCGUUAUAUGUCGUAGCUUUCUCGCAUGGUCCUGUAAGCCGUAGCUCAUGGCUGACAAUAAAUUUAUCUUCUUUGCUGUCUCUGACACAAUAAAACUUAAAUGGCGUCUUUUGUCUGUACUUUAUCUUUAGUUUGAGAAUGUUACUAAUUCCAAAACUGAAAUGCAGUGGAAGCACAAUAGUAGGAGUUGGCUCUCCAGAUCCUCCACAAUUUGUCUACGACGAUGAAGAAUACAAGGAUGUCUUCUUGUCAGGUAAAUAACAAACAUCGCGACUACAUGAUAACGCAAUCUGCAUCUAGUUAGUCCUCAUUAUUCUAACUCUCUACAAAGAUCUUAUCGUUCUUUGCUAUGAUCACAAUAUUUGAUUGUGAAGUUUACUCUAGACAUUUGGAAAUAAUGUGUGUUAUCCAGUGACGAAGCCAGGAAUUUCGCAAAAGAUGUUCAAAAUUUAAUCUACACAUAAAAAAUAAUUUUUGACCUAUAUACACAAUAUAAAUUUUUAUAUACACAGUAUAAUUUUUUGAUGAAGGACGUUUUAUUGACCAACCAUCAAUGUAUGCGGCUACGCUACUGGUGUUAUCAGAAAUUUAUAGCCCGCGAUAGAAAUCAAUUGUUUUCUGCAUAAUUGUGCAUCCGCUCUCUUUUGAGAUACGCUGUUAUGAAUUGCAGAAGCUAGUUUCAUCACUCGGGCACCCGAUCAAUGGUACGUGGAACCUGUUUCAGCUAGCAAUUGUGGUGAUCAAGCCGAGUUCUCCAGAUCAUUUGAAGAUUCUUAGGCCUCAGAGCCUAUAAAUUGAAGCAAUUAGGAUAAGUGUGUAGUUGUAUAUGUAAUGUGCAAUAAGGACUAAUUUCUGUAAUCUCAUCCUUUCACUUCGGAUGAUGCACUAUUCAAAAAUGGAUAGAGAAAAAUCAGUCACAGUCUAUUUCAUGUUGCUAAAAAAGGAAGAUACACAUUCAGUCUAUGCUCUUUUAUUUUAGUCAUCAAGGGCAAAUUUAGAAUAUUCUAUAAUAUAACUAAACUACAUCAUUAGAAAAUAUGGCACUAGUGCUUCUUGUCUCAAUUUAUGACACUUUUUGCUUUUCGAGAUGUAAAUUUUUAAUUUUGACCGUUCAUUUGGACAUAAUUUUUUUAACUUUUUGAAAUAAGAUUUACAUAUUUAGAAAUUGCAUAAAAAGUAUUAUAAGUCAUAGUAAUUAAUAAUUUAAAAUAUUUAAAAAAUAUAUGAAAAAAUUAUGAUAAAAGAAUAAUUCGUUUGACUCGCGAAAUUCGAAUACCGUCACAUAAAUAUUUCUAAGCUACUAACUAACCAAAGUAAUUCAAGUGUUGCAGGAUUUUUAUGACAAACUUAAUUGCAAUUGAACUUCCCUUUAUAUGCCUAUCAAAAUUAAGAAGGAAAGUGCAAAUGAUGAGUAUUGGUUACCGCAUGGUAAAAACUUCCACAUCAGCUUACCAUGACUAAGUAAUUUAAGGAGGAUGGGAAUAUGUAUUAAUUAAUAACCAUGAUCAAGUAAUAGAAAUUACUAUAUAAAUACAAGUCACGCAACUAUUGAUUUAGUAUAAACAUCUUGUUUGGAUGGUUGUUAUCUAUUGUAUUGUGUCAUAUUGUUACUUUAAAUUCAAUGUUUGUUUUGACUGUUAUUUAAAUUUUAUUGUAUCAUAUCAUAAAAUCCAUUGUUAUGUAUUGCCACAUUAUGUAACGACUGAUUUGGUGUGGUCGCAUCGUUACCUUAUUUUUUUCUCUCAUCUUUCCCUUCCUUAUUAUUUCUUUUACCCUAUCUUUUUAUGUAAUAAUUCUACCCGUACCUUACUUUUUCUUUGUAAUAUUGCAAGUUUAAUUUUUAUAUUGCUGAUGCAUGAUGUCAUGAAAAAACGAUAAAUAAUACAAUAUAUCCAAACAUUAUAUACAUUAAAACGAUACAGUACAAUAUAAUAUAUUAUGAAAUAACACGUAACAAUCAUCCAACAAGUUGUAAGUUUCAAUAAUUUCAUACAGGUGAAAGUGCUUUCAUAGAAGCAAAAAUGGAAGUGAAGAAUGUCAAAAUAAAACCAACUAGGAAGGGCUAAAAACAUGAACCCCAACUGGAAAUUCUCCUUUUCCAAAUAAAAUAACUCAAUGUAGCUAGUUGCAAAUUUAACUAACUUUUUCUAACUGCAAUUACUUGAGUACACGUUUCUAUAUAUAUUUUAUUAUCAAAUCUAGUACUGAUCAAACUUUAAAGACCAACCAAAUAGAUGCAAAUUGCAAUACAUCACCCAUAUAUAUUACACCACCUUUCCACCUUUUCGUUUUUUUCCCCAUGAUCUGUCUCUUUCUUCUUUAACCAAAUAACUUCCUCUUCUAUCAACAUACCAUGAUAACUUUAAAAAUAAAAUAUUUUCAGGUGAACUUGCAAAUUUCAGUUUCCAUCCACAAACUCAGGCAGGGGCAGAUGUAGUUUAUUACCGACGGGUUUAACUGAAGUCAUAAUUUUCUAGGCGGAGUAAAAAAUUAUAUAUAUAUAUAAAAAUUCAUUAAAAUUGUAAAAAUCGUAAAUAUGAACACAUAACUUUAAAAAUAUAAUAGGUUCAACCACCUUUCCACCUUUAAAAAUAUAAUAGGUUCAACCUAAGUUGCUCGGAUUCGGGUGCGAGUGUCCGAUACGGAUGCUGAUCUAGAGCUCAGAUUCUUCAUGAUCUAAAUUUAAAGAUUCGGGAAUAUGAAUCCAGGUACGGAUACGGGUGCGGGGAUUCGGCUAAAAAUAAUUCAAUUAUUUAAAAAUAGAGUUAUAAAAAUAUGGCUAAAUUAUGAGACAUUAUGUGAAAAACUUAUAAGGUAUUCCGAGAAGGAAAAAAUAUUGAACAAGAGUAGAAUUUUAGAAGGAGAUAAAAGAAAAAGGACUGACAUAGAAAUUUAUAUAUACAGGGUAUUCUAUUUUCUUCCAUAUCACCCUAACUUUUGAUUUGUUUUAAAAAAUCAUUGUAUCUGUCCCAAAUUUCUCCGUUGAUUUUGGUCAAAGCACCCAAAAUCGGUUGACCAGAUCCGACACGGAUCCCACACCCAUACCCACACCCACGUCGUGUCGACACGGGUGCGGCACUGAAAGUGAAGAGUCCUAGCAACUUAGGGUUCAACCACCUUUCCACCUUUUCGUUUUCUUUUUCCUUCUCUUUUUUUAUUUUUCUUUUUUCCCCAUAAUUUGUCUCUUUCUACUUUAACCAAAUAACUUUCUUCCUCUUCUAUCAAAUAACUUGCAAAAUUUCAGUUUCCUUCCGCUUGGGAAGUCUUCUUAGCUCCUGCAAAUUUGCUAUUUUUAGUAAAUUUCCUUAUCUUCAACUCAUUAUAAACUCACUAACAUAUCACAUCUCUUCCAAUAUUCUCUAUAGAAAUUAAAUUACAAAAUGUCUUUUACAAAAACAAGCUGUAUUUCUGGGAUCUUGUUCUUGUUCUUAGCUCUUGCAUAUGAAGCUACGGUUCCAAGAAAUGCUAAUGCAGGGUUUAUAGCAGUUAAUGAUGCUCAGAGGUACAAAGUCUCUGAGGUUCUUAAAGAUGCAUUUGUCGCUGGUAUUUCUGUUUGUCGUACGUGGGCUUUCAGUGAUGCACACUACCAGAAAUUUGGCCUAUCGCAACGCUAAUAAAACUGUUGCAAUACAUAAGAAAACCGUUGCAAUAUCCCCAUUGUAACGGUUCUCGGUAGUCCCACCGGCUCGCGUGCCAUAGGUCUAUUGUAACGGUUUCGUGCAACAGUUAUACAACCGUCGCCAUAUGUCUUAUUCAAGUGGAACGGUUCAAAACCAUUGCAAUAGCAUUUUAAGCAACGACUAUUUGUGUCUAUUGCAACGGUUUGAAUACAUAUCGCAACAGUUGUGUAGCUAUUGCAAUAGUUAUUUAGUGCUGCGCAACGAUUUUUUUAAGGUUAUUGCAACAAUUAAUGAAAUUUAUGGAAACUGUAUAAUAAAGUAAGAUGAAUUGAUUACCUAUAUAAUCAUCAAAGGAAACUAGUAUUAAUCAACAAAAUUAUAUUCCAAAAUAUCCAACUAUUAUUAUUCACAUAUAAAAGUAAAAUAUACAAUAUUGUUUAACUAUUUAAGAGUUUACAGAAGCUUGAACAAAGUUUCAAAUAAAUAAAAGAUUCAUAGAACAUGCAAGAGUCUAGCACCGAUCAACCAAAUCUUAAGUAUCUUUACUGCUUUUAUCUUCUGCUUGUUUAUUUGAUCAACCUACAAAAGAUGAUAACUAAAUAUUAGAAAAGCUUGAGCAAAUAUAACUGUACAAUUAUAGACUCAGAUAACAACUAAAAAGAAAAUGUGAUAUAACAAAUAUUAGAAAUUGGGAUAAAAGGUUCAUUAUAUUGUAACUGUUAUAUUUACAAGAGCCAAACCACUCUAUUGCAAUUUUUGAUGGACAUAGAACCACUAUACUUAGAGAAGCUCAAGUACAAUGAGUUAACUAACUUUUUUAUUGUUACUAUCAAUUAACUAUUUGUUUUGUUGUUAUUAUCAGUUAACUAUUAAGCCACUCAUUGACCAAAGUCUUCAGAAUAGUUCUUAAAAUGACCUCAAUCUCCAACUUAAGAAACAACCGAAGUACCAAGUUCUAGCUUAUAAAAAGGGCAUUACACCAGAAAGACUGACCAAUUAUGAAGCAUAAAAAAUAAUAGAUCAAAAGAGCUUAACAUUUUUGGAUGAUAAAAGUAGGUGAUAAUGGAUAAAAGUUUUGGCACAGGGUAUAUAAAGCUCACUAGCUUCUAAAACAUAAUGAAUUCUACAAAUUGUAGAUGGGGAAGAACUGAUUCUUGGUUUUGCACUCACUUGUUUAACUAUCAUUUUUAAUUUAAAGACUUUAAGGUGUUGUUAUACAAGAGAGGGAAAAUGAACUAUCUUUAUUCAUAAAUUGGUAGUUCUCUCGUUGUGUAUUCUAUGCCAACGUCUCAAAAAACCUCUCCCACCACACAGCUCUUGGGGUAAUUGAGUAUUUUGACAAUUCUUUUAUUUGUAAGAACAUGAACUUUUACUGAGUAAAAAAUUAAUAUUAAGGUGCAACUGUCAUAAAAGCCCGUCAAAUUAACUUUUGUGAGUGACAGUCUUUUGAAAAGUCUAACUCUUUCAAUUGAUUUUAGCAUGCGACUUCUUAGAAAUACUUCCCUCAGAUUUUUCCCAUGAAGUCCAAAGAGAUUGUCCUAUGAAAAUGCAGUAUUCCACUACAACUACUCAUGAAGACAUCAUAUAUAUGAAUAUAAAUGUGCAUAUAUCGAAAAGAGAUGUUGAAAAGAACACACCAUCACAUAUCAAAGUGGCAGCAAAAAAUAUUAAAGUUCUUACCUUAUCAAAGGAAGAAGAGAACUAUCACCAUUACCAGCAGUUUUCAAGCAAGAGAAUGUUGUAGCUACAAAAAAUAAAAAUAGCAUUUACAAUAAUGCAAAAGAAAAUUACAGCUAUCUCUAACCCGAGUUUUGUCAAAUCCCAUUAACUGCAGCAAGGUGACAAUCUUUCAGAGAAAAUGAAGUUGACUUAAUUACUAACAACACAAGUUCAUUAAAAGAUUUGCUUGAAGUGGGAUUUCACAUUACCAUUUCCAUACUUCUCUAUAUCUGAAGUGAAAAUUUUAGUAUUCUUAAAUCCUACCAUACCAGUCACCUUUUCAUAUAUGUGUGCUUAUGCAAAAUAUUGCCAUACUAAAUAAUAUACAAUCCAACAGAAGAGAUUAAAAAAUGAAGAAGAACUGCCCAAGUAAGUCAAAUAUGGCAUUAAGUAAUAGUAUAACUGAGAAACUAAUGGAGGAGCCAAAGGAAAAUGUCCCACCACUACCACAGAUGACAUAUCCAGCUUAUGACAAUAUGAACAACAUGCCUUAGGUUUUUGUUGAAUAAAGUAUAGUGAACCAUACCUUCAGUUGUAAAAUUAAACUCUUUGAUAGAAGCUGCUAAAAAAUCCUCUUUCCAGUGUCUUCCCAGUUGCACUAGGAACAAAUAAUUUUUCUUUUGACUGAUAUUCACUUCCUCCUCCCCUUCAUUUUCACUUCAUUCUUUCUGUAAUCAACCAAAUCAGAUACCAAAAUAACAAAUCAAAUCCACAAAUAGCAGUAGUACACUUUUCCCCUUAGCAUAUCUUGAAAUAGGACUAAAUAAAACUUAAGAGAAAAAAUAUACAGCAUCCAAAUUUCGUCUUCGGCAGAUCUAAUAAUUAAAAUCCACCAACUCAACUUUAAUUUCUCAAACUAGAAACCCUACCAAAUUAAACUCCCUUUUUCCAAAUUAGAAAUCAUAAUCACAAAAUGUAUCGGCAUAAUACAAAGAAAAAGAGAAACAGAAGCACGAAAUUUCUAAACAAGAAUAACAGAUUUAUGAGAAAAAAGUUACCUCUUGUUCAAACUCCAAAAUCCUCAAUCUCAGUCAUAGAUGAGAGAAAGCAAGAACAACGAAUAGAAGGAGAUGGUGGAGGGGAAACCUAUGCCAGAGGGGAAGUCUACGUCGUAGGUCGCCUUGCCUUCGCUGCAGCGUCGAUGCUGGCUGUGUGAGAAGUGUUUUAGGGCAAGGGGUUUUAGCCUUUUAGGUGAUUUAAGACUUAGAAAAACCAAAAAAGCUAUUUAAAAAAGAGGUCGUGGCUGUGUAUUUUAUUGAUGACCCUUUUUGUG